rnacentral:rRNA from 1 species
GAUGAACGCUGGCGGCGUGCCUAAUACAUGCAAGUCGAGCGAACAGACGAGGAGCUUGCUCCUCUGACGUUAGCGGCGGACGGGUGAGUAACACGUGGAUAACCUACCUAUAAGACUGGGAUAACUUCGGGAAACCGGAGCUAAUACCGGAUAAUAUAUUGAACCGCAUGGUUCAAUAGUGAAAGACGGUUUUGCUGUCACUUAUAGAUGGAUCCGCGCCGCAUUAGCUAGUUGGUAAGGUAACGGCUUACCAAGGCAACGAUGCGUAGCCGACCUGAGAGGGUGAGCGGCCACACUGGAAGUGUGACACGGUCCAGACUCCUACGGGAGGCAGCAGUAGGGAAUCUUCCGCAAUGGGCGAAAGCCUGACGGAGCAACGCCGCGUGAGUGAUGAAGGUCUUCGGAUCGUAAAACUCUGUUAUUAGGGAAGAACAAAUGUGUAAGUAACUAUGCACGUCUUGACGGUACCUAAUCAGAAAGCCACGGCUAACUACGUG